rnacentral:rRNA from 1 species
UACGAAGGGGGCUAGCGUUGUCGUGAAUCACUGGGCGUAAAGGGCGCGUAGGCGGCCGGCCAAGUCGGGGGUGAAAGCCUGUGGCUCAACCACAGAAUGGCCCUCGAUACUGGCUGGCUCGAGACCGGAAGAGGUUGGUGGAAUUGCGAGUGUAGAGGUGAAAUUCGUAGAUAUUCGCAAGAACACCGGUGGCGAAGGCGGCCAACUGGUCCGGAUCUGACGCUGAGGCGCGAAAGCGUGGGGGAGCAAAAGGG